rnacentral:rRNA from 1 species
AGCGAACGCUAGCGGCGGGCCUAACACAUGCAAGUCGAGCGCAUACCUUCGGGUAUGAGCGGCGGACGGGUGAGUAACGCGUAGGUCAUCUACCCUUUGGUGGGGGAUAACCCAGGGAAACUUGGGCUAAUACCGCACGAGGUCCACGGAUCAAAGCCUUCGGGCGCCAGAGGAUGAGCCUGCGUCGCAUUACCUAGUUGGCGGGGUAACGGCCCACCAAGGGGACGAUGCGUAGCUGGUCUGAGAGGAUGAUCAGCCACACUGGGACUGAGACACGGCCCAGACUCCUACGGGAGGCAGCAGUGGGGAAUAUUGCGCAAUGGGGGAAACCCUGACGCAGCCACGCCGCGUGGGUGAUGAAGGCCUUCGGGUUGUAAGACCCUGUCGGGAGGGACGAAUUCUUGACGGUACCUCCAAAGAAGACACCGCUAACUCCGUGCCAGCAGCCGCGGUAAU